rnacentral:rRNA from 1 species
AUGCUGAGUGGCCCUAGGAGGUGGGAUGAAAAUUUGGUUAGGCAUCUGUUUUAUCCAUAUGAUGCGGAGGAGAUUUUGAGGUUGCGUAUGCAGUCAAAUGGGGAGGGUGAUUUUGUUGCUUGGCAUUUUGAAAAAACAGGGAUGUUCUCGGUUAAAAGUGCGUACAAACUUGCGCUUACUUUGAAGGAUAAAAAUAAGGAUGAGGGUCAAUGUAGUGAGGCUGUGUUGGGGGAGAGAAAAAUCUGGGAUGUCAUCUGGAAGGCUAAUGUCCCUCAGAAGAUUCACAAUUUUGCAUGGAGGGUUGCAACAAAUAGCUUGGCUGUCCAGGUUAAUAGAGUGGUGCAUCACCAAACUACUGUUCGGAUGUGCACUAUUUGUGGAAUGGAGGAUGAAAGUACAUUUCAUGCGCUUGUCAUGUGCCUGAAGGCGGUUGCGUUGCGGAUGGCCAUGAGGGACAUUUGGGAGUUACCUAUGGAGAACGUCUUCAGAUAUACAGGACGCUAUUGUCUGUCAAUCGUCUGCGCUCCGCAUCCCUCAAGCCUCGAUUCACGCAGCCACCAUGAUCUGCGGAACGCAAUUAGUCCAGAUCUCCCUCCCACGAUCCCCGGAAACAACGCACCUCAAGGCCUCGUCGCCUGUAGACGCUAUUGUCUGUCAAUCGUCUGCGCUCCGCAUCCCUCAAGCCUCGAUUCACGCAGCCACCAUGAUCUGCGGAACGCAAUUAGUCCAGAUCUCCCUCCCACGAUCCCCGGAAACAACGCACCUCAAGGCCUCGUCGCCUGUAGGUUCUCCGCCGCCGCCCCACGCGACACAGGCCAUCUCUCCCCUGUUUCCCUCUUCUCCAUCCCACACGACAAGCGCGCGGCAGAAGGCGACCACCAUAUCUCUCUUCUCCCUCGCCCCGUUACGCCUCACCCACCGCCGCUUCCUCUCCCCGCCCCCCGGCACAGCCUCACGCUUCCAGUCUCUCGCCUCGAAGGAGGCGGACGCCUCAAUCGUCUCCGGGGCCGGUGGGGCGCGGGGAGCGAGGUGCUCUCGGUGCUCGACCUGGCGCUCACCGUCGAGGAUCACUACUGCCGCCAGCGCGCCCAGGAGCAGCGGAAGGGCAUGGAGGCGGAGGGGUCCGGCAUAGAGGGGAUCUCGGUGGGCGGGCACGAGGCAUGCGUCACUGCGCCGUCCCCAUACUGCGGCAGUGGUCUAUUCAGCAACGAUCUGAUCCACAAACUGUCAAGCGCACAUGGUACAACCAUCAAGUUCUGGGAUAUUAGCUGGAAAUCAUUUGCAUCAGCACCUGCCGCCAACAUAAAAAAUGUUAGCCUUCCGAAAGGCAAAAUUCUGCACAUUUUCACCUUGUUUAUAAGUGGAACGUAUUUAAUAUGCCAUCUAAUGAUCCAAGCAUUUGAUUGCUUGGAUGAAGUUGGAUGGCAGAUCCCCAUCCAGCUUUUAAAAGUUGGUCUAGGUGUUGCAGCUUCUUCAGUGCAGUAUACACUGGCAACUGGGAGCACACUUGAAUUACAUGAAUACAUUUCUUCACAGAACCCGUUGUUGUGUGCAGAAUAUAUUUCUUCAGAGAAUGUGUUAUUGUGCAGAAACUACAAUGAAGUUGUCGGUGGAGAAGAUCCGGUGAACCCAACUACAUCGGGUUGGUUCAAAGGGAGUGGUCCGAUCAGGUCCUUCCAACGGUCUAUUGUCCGUCGAAGGUCACGUUCAUCUCUGGCAAAUUCCACCGCAGCCUCGGUCACCAAGCCUUAUGUGUUCUCCACUUGCAUGCACAACGAGUUCCGCAAGAUGGCCAAUGUUGUCAAGAACCAGGUCACUGGAAGCUACUACAUGCCUGACUUGACCAAACCCGCUCUUGCAAGACUUUCAAUUUACUGCAACCUCCGAGUUUCCAAAUACGGUGUCAAGAAAAAGAAGAAAAAAGUCCAUUUUACUACGGUGAACAAAGUUGGUGGUUCACAUUACCCCUGA